CCUACGGGUGGCAGCAGUGGGGAAUAUUGCGCAAUGGGCGAAACCCUGACCCAGCAACGCCGCGUGAAGGAAGAAGGCUUUCGGGUUGUAAACUUCUAUCGACAGGGAAGAGCAGAAGACGGUACCUGUCGAAUAAGCCACGGCUAACUACGUGCCAGCAGCCGCGGUAAUACGUAGGUGGCAAGCGUUGUCCGGAUUUAUGGGGUGUAAAGGGCGUGUAGCCGGGCUGACAAGUCAGAUGUGAAAGCCGGGGGCUCAACCCCCGGACUGCUUUGGAAACUGUAGGUCUGGAGUGUAGGAGAGGCAGGUGGAAUUCCUAGUGUAGCGGUGAAAUGCGUAGAUAUUAGGAGGAACACCAGUGGCGAAGGCGGCCUGCUGGACGGCAACUGACGGUGAGGCGCGAAAGCGUGGGGAGCAAACAGGAUUAGAUACCCUUGUAGUC
rnacentral:rRNA from 1 species